UCUUUUAAGGUUACCCUUGAGCCACUCCCCACCCUUAGAAAUUGGUUUAGUGAGACUCCAGUGAGCUCUAGGGCAGAAUCUGACAUAGUCUAAGACAUGCCAGAGUAACAAGGGUUUGAUUCAACUGUACAUUUUCCAUACCUGGAAGAAAUCUCCUUUGGUCUAAGAUCUACAAAGUCCAAUGUAGAGUAAUUAGUGAAUAUGCUCCAUUUUAAGAGAAAAGAAGAGCAUGUUUUCCCAGACUAUUUUUCUCUGACCUUCUGUGAGUCAGGUUCUCUCACUUCCCUCCACCUGGACAUUUAUCUUGCUGGGCCUGGAUCCCUUGGCUGGAUUCCUGUUCCCAGACGCAGACCAUUUCUGGAGUCAAGAUUUCCUUUCAAAAAUGAUUUCUUCAGUGACAGCCAGCAUCAAUGAUUUUUCUUUCUGAAGUCUUUAAGGAGGACUUGGCAACUUGCUUCUUUGAGACAUUUAAAGCCUCACUCAUCAGUUUUUGGAAAUCUUGCUCAUUUACAUUGUCAUAGCUCACGAGCCCUGUGAUUUAAACCUCAGAAAGGUCACUGAGAAUCCCUGCAUGUGAUGAGAAUUAUGUUUAAUGUGAUUUUGCAUAUACAAGCCUGUUGGAAGCAGAAGAGACCAAGCCAUUAUACCAUGAGCCACAUGAAAUACAAGAUCCAUGAGAGAUGUUUGGGUAACUGAGAUACUGGAACACUACUUCAGGAGGGCUCUUCUGGCUGGAGAAGAAGGACAGAAUAGAACUCAUGGGGAGGAUACCAGGAAGAACUGUCUAGUUCCAGACAUUUGUCUCUACCGCUAUCCCUCAAAAUGCUUUCCAGGAAAUAUUUUGAUACUGUCCCAGCUCACACAGAAGGCUUUAUGCCUCAAAAGAUUACAGUAUCCAGAGAAUGGAUAGUAUUUUGAGUAUUGUCCUAACAUUGUUGCAAGUGAAAAGGAACAUGUUCUGUUCUCCUGAACAUCUUAAGAGAGAACUGAAGUCUGACCAAGAGGGUCGUUUACAUGGGUCAUUCUCGUGUCCCUUCAGCUUCCCUUCUUUUCUCAACCAAAGGUCCACACUGCCAGGUUCUGCCAGGAAUACAGGACCAGAGCAUACUCACAAGCCUCAUGGGAAGUGGUGAACAGCAAGAGGAGACCCACACCAUUUACAUAUUAUAAUAUAUAUUAUACAUUUCUAAACUAGCACCAUUUGUGGCUGUGUGGUGCACAGCUAUAACAGGGCUUAGAGUCCCUAGGGUCUAAGAUCAUGAAAGAAGAAACCACAAGGGAGCAAUAAAUUGUAUAAUAACACGUGAUUCUAUGGUGUCAAUUUUCAGAAAAGAAGAGUGACCAACAGACCAAAUGAAGCAGGGUGGACCAUAGAGACUGGAUAAUUUAUUGAACUUUACCAUUAGGAGAUUAUUGGUGAACUUAGCCAGAACAGUUUCCAUGAAGUUAUGAGGGAUUGAGAGCUUGAUUAUACCAAGAUACAGCAGAAUGAAGAUGUGAGCAGAAACUGAGAAGUGAAGGCCAAGUUUGAGAUUAAGAAAGUAAGUCGCAUUAGGGAGAGGCUCAAGGAAGGUUUUGGUGGGAGUCAUGAGAAAAACUGGCCAAAUUCACAUGAGAAUGAGAACAUUUAAAAGGGUAUCGAAGCUAUUGAAGAAGCAAGGUUAAUGGAGCAAGAUUCUAGAGGGAGAGAAGCAAGAAAGGAUACAGUUGAAGGACCAGGCUCAAGUACCUAAGGAACAAGGAUGAAACGCACUGGGGGUCAUGAUGAUGUGAGGAGAAAGUGGACCACCCAUUGCCUUGGCACCUCUGUGAGAACACAGCCCACACUGGGCUUGGAGGACACUGUGGUGUUUGGGGGCAGAGCUUCUGUGAACAUGUAGAAUGAAGGAGACUGACAACGGAGUAAAGGUUUGGGAAAGCAGGUGGGUUCGUUGUAAGAGAAGACAAUGCAAUAAGUGUCUGUGAGGGAAA